GAGGAUAUAGUUCAGUGGUAGAAUGCUUGGCUAGCAGGCACGAGGCCCUGGGUUCAAUCCCCAGUACCACCA
rnacentral:tRNA from 1 species